rnacentral:rRNA from 1 species
CCUACGGGAGGCAGCAGUGGGGAAUAUUGCACAAUGGGCGCAAGCCUGAUGCAGCCAUGCCGCGUGUGUGAAGAAGGCCUUCGGGUUGUAAAGCACUUUCAGCGGGGAGGAAGGCGUUAAGGUUAAUAACCUUGGCGAUUGACGUUACCCGCAGAAGAAGCACCGGCUAACUCCGUGCCAGCAGCCGCGGUAAUACGGAGGGUGCAAGCGUUAAUCGGAAUUACUGGGCGUAAAGCGCACGCAGGCGGUCUGUCAAGUCGGAUGUGAAAUCCCCGGGCUCAACCUGGGAACUGCAUUCGAAACUGGCAGGCUAGAGUCUUGUAGAGGGGGGUAGAAUUCCAGGUGUAGCGGGGAAAUGCGUAGAGAUCUGGAGGAGUACCGGUGGCGAAGGCGGCCCCCUGGACAAAGACUGACGCUCAGGUGCGAAAGCGUGGGGAGCAAACAGGAUUAGAUACCCGGGUAGUC